rnacentral:rRNA from 1 species
UACGUAGGGUGCGAGCGUUAAUCGGAAUUACUGGGCGUAAAGCGUGCGCAGGCGGCGGCUCAAGUCAGGUGUGAAAUCCCCGGGCUUAACCUGGGAAUUGCAUUUGGGACUGCAAGGCUCGAGUGCGGCAGAGGAGACUGGAAUUCCUGGUGUAGCAGUGAAAUGCGUAGAUAUCAGGAGGAACACCGAUGGCGAAGGCAGGUCUCUGGGCUGACACUGACGCUCAUGCACGAAAGCGUGGGGAGCAAACAGG